rnacentral:rRNA from 1 species
AACGAACGCUGGCGGCAGGCUUAACACAUGCAAGUCGAACGCCCCGCAAGGGGAGUGGCAGACGGGUGAGUAACGCGUGGGAACAUACCCUUUCCUGCGGAAUAGCUCUGGGAAACUGGAAUUAAUACCGCAUACGCCCUACGGGGGAAAGAUUUAUCGGGGAAGGAUUGGCCCGCGUUGGAUUAGCUAGUUGGUGGGGUAAAGGCCUACCAAGGCGACGAUCCAUAGCUGGUCUGUGAGGAUGAUCAGCCACAUUGGGACUGGGACACGGCCCAAACUCCUACGGGAGGCAGCAGUGGGGAAUAUUGAACAAUGGGCGCAAGCCUGAUCCAGCCAUGCCGCGUGAGUGAUGAAGGCCUUAGGGUUGUAAAGCUCUUUCACCGAUGAAGUUAAUGACGGUAGUCGGAGAAGAAGCCCCGGCUAACUUCGUGCCAGCAGCCGCCGUAACAC